UGGGCGUAAAGGGCUCGCAGGCGGUUUCUUAAGUCUGAUGUGAAAGCCCCCGGCUCAACCGGGGAGGGUCAUUGGAAACUGGGGAACUUGAGUGCAGAAGAGGAGAGUGGAAUUCCACGUGUAGCGGUGAAAUGCGUAGAGAUGUGGAGGAACACCAGUGGCGAAGGCGACUCUCUGGUCUGUAACUGACGCUGAGGAGCGAAAGCGUGGGGAGCGAACAGGAUUAGAUACCCUGGUAGUCCACGCCGUAAACGAUGAGUGCUAAGUGUUAGGGGGUUUCCGCCCCUUAGUGCUGCAGCUAACGCAUUAAGCACUCCGCCUGGGGAGUACGGUCGCAAGACUGAAACUCAAAGGAAUUGACGGGGGCCCGCACAAGCGGUGGAGCAUGUGGUUUAAUUCGAAGCAACGCGAAGAACCUUACCAGGUCUUGACAUCCUCUGACACUCCUAGAGAUAGGACGUCCCCUUCGGGGGCAGAGUGACAGGUGGUGCAUGGUUGUCGUCAGCUCGUGUCGUGAGAUGUUGGGUUAAGUCCCGCAACGAGCGCAACCCUUGAUCUUAGUUGCCAGCAUUCAGUUGGGCACUCUAAGGUGACUGCCGGUGACAAACCGGAGGAAGGUGGGGAUGACGUCUUAUCAUCAUGCCCCUUAUGACCUGGGCUACACACGUGC
rnacentral:rRNA from 1 species